rnacentral:rRNA from 1 species
GACGAACGCUGGCGGCGUGCUUAACACAUGCAAGUCGAACGGAAAGGCCCUGCUUUUGUGGGGUGCUCGAGUGGCGAACGGGUGAGUAACACGUGAGUAACCUGCCCUUGACUUUGGGAUAACUUCAGGAAACUGGGGCUAAUACCGGAUAGGAGCUCCUGCUGCAUGGUGGGGGUUGGAAAGUUUCGGCGGUUGGGGAUGGACUCGCGGCUUAUCAGCUUGUUGGUGGGGUAGUGGCUUACCAAGGCUUUGACGGGUAGCCGGCCUGAGAGGGUGACCGGCGACAUUGGGACUGAGAGACGGCCCAGAAUACUACGGGAGGCAGCAGUGGGGAAUAUUGCACAAUGGGCGGAAGCCUGAUGCAGCAACGCCGCGUGCGGGAUGACGGCCUUCGGGUUGUAAACCGCUUUCGCCUGUGACGAAGCGUGAGUGACGGUAAUGGGUAAAGAAGCACCGGCUAACUACGUG